rnacentral:misc_RNA from 1 species
AAAAUUUUAAAAUUAAAUUUAUUUAUUAAUGGGCUUAAAUGACUAUUAAAUUAUUUUUUAAGAGCUUAAAUGUUCUUUUUUUUUUUAGUUAUUUAACAGACCUAUUUUUAAAAAAUUUAAGAGCUUAAAUGACUAUGUUAAAAAGUUUAAAACUUAAAUGACCCACUCAAUCUGGCUAGAUUUCUUAAAGACUUGAAAGAACUUUUUUUUCCAAAAUAAAUGAUUAUGAACAUGUAAACCAAAACUAAUUUGAGAUUGCGCUAAUUUCUUUAACUUCUAAGUCCAACACCUAAACCAUACUUUUCAACUGGAGGCUUUUAAUAAUAUUAUUAUUUAAUUUAAAACAUUUCUUAAAAAUUAUUAUUAUAUAUAAAUAUUCUUUAUGUAACACCCCUAAUUUUUUUAAAUUUAUUAUUUUUGGGCAAAUAUUGA